AUGGAUGGCGCUUGAGCGGGAGACUUAUACCCGACCGUUGCAUGGCUUGUGUGUUUCUUCAUGUCUAAGAGAUUCGCCUCGCCGCAACGAGUAAGAGGGUCACAGUGGUUUGCGUUGAAGGCUUUGGGCGUAGGCCCGGCUGGAGCUUCCACUGGUGCAGAUCUUGGUGGUAGUAGCAAAUAUUCAAGUGAGAUCCUUGAAGACUGAAGUGGAGAAGGGUUCCACGUGAACAGCAGUUGAAUGUGGGUCAGUCGGCCCUAAGAUACUGGCUAAUGCCAUGUGUUAUCGAGAGAUGGAGUUCAAAUCCGUCUCGUUUAUCGAAAGGGAAACGGGUUAAUAUUCCCGUACCUGGACACGGAGAUAAGCGCUCAUUGCGAGUGUUUAGCGCGGUAACGCAAACGAACUCGGUAACGUUGAAUAGAGCCCGAGCUAGAGUUCUCUUUUCUAGUUAAGGAACGAAUUCCCUGGAAUCGGUUCAGCCGGAGAUAGGGAUGUUGUUUCCGUAAAGCGCCACGGUUCCUGUGGUGUCUCGUGCGCUCUAUUCGGCCCUUGAAAAACCGAGGGAGGCUAUUUGAAUUUCGUGCCAGGCCGUACCGAUAUCCGCAGCAGGUCUCCAAGGUGAACAGCCUCUAGUCGAUAGAAUAAUGUAGGUAAGGGAAGUCGGCAAAUUAGAUCCGUAACUUCGGGAAAAGGAUUGGCUCUAAGGACUGGGCCGGUCGGGCUGCAGUGUGAAGUGAGCUCGGUUUGAUCCAUGCAGUGCAACGCUCGGAAACGGGUGGCGCUCGGCUAGCGUUCGAACUGUCUUAUGGACCGCUGCAGCUGUGUACCGCGUCAAUAAUGGCGUUGGUGCUUCGGCGGGCGCUAAACAGUCGACUUAGAACUGGCACGGACUCGGGGAAUCCGACUGUCUAAUUAAAACAGAGGAGACAGAUGGCCCUUGCGAGCGUUGACUGUCUCUGAUUUCUGCCCAGUGCUCUGAAUGUAAAAGUGAAGAAAUUCAACCAAGCGCGGGUAAACGGCGGGAGUAACUAUGACUCUCUUAAGGUAGCCAAAUGCCUCGUCAUCUAAUUAAUGACGCGCAUGAAUGGAUUAACGAGAUUCCCACUGUCCCUAUCUACUAUCUAGCGAAACCACAGCCAAGGGAACGGGCUUGGCGAACACAGCGGGGAAAGAAGACCCUGUUGAGCUUGACUCUAGUCCGACUCUGUGAAGAGUCAUGAGAGGUGUAGCAUAAGUGGGAGGCUUUCGCCAACAGUGAAAUACCACUACUUUCAUCGAUUCUUUACUUAUUCGGUAAGACGAGAAUUGAGCCUAUCCGGCUCUUGAUUCUGGUGUUAAGUGCAGCCACUCGGUGGCCGUUCGACUCGCGCCGAAGACAGUGUCAGGCGGGGAGUUUGACUGGGGCGGUACAUCUGUCAAAUCGUAACGCAGGUGUCCUAAGGCUAGCUCAGAGAGGACGGAAACCUCUCGUAGAGCAAAAGGGCAAAAGCUCGCUUGAUCUUGAUUUUCAGUACGAAUACAGACCGCGAAAGCGUGGCCUAUCGAUCCUUUUGAAUUAGAAGGUCUCUAGCAAGAGGUGUCAGAAAAGUUACCACAGGGAUAACUGGCUUGUGGCA
rnacentral:rRNA from 1 species